UACGUAGGGCGCAAGCGUUGUCCGGAAUUAUUGGGCGUAAAGAGCUCGUAGGCGGUCUGUCGCGUCCGUUGUGAAAACUCGAGGCUCAACCUCGGGCUUGCAGUGGAUACGGGCAGACUAGAGUGCGGUAGGGGAGACUGGAAUUCCUGGUGUAGCGGUGGAAUGCGCAGAUAUCAGGAGGAACACCGGUGGCGAAGGCGGGUCUCUGGGCAACAACUGACGCUGAGGAGCGAAAGCGUGGGGAGCAAACAGG
rnacentral:rRNA from 1 species